UUUUCUUUAUUCUAACAAUGCAAUACCAUAGAAGAGAGAUUUGAUGGGAUACAUUUUUAUUGGAGUUUAUCCUGGUGCAAUGAGAGCCUGGUUCAAUUGUUGAGUUCUUCAUCUUCCUCCCUGGUUUGAAUAUCUUCUUCAAAUCCCUCUUCCUUUUAUCAGCAUCAGACUUGGUUUAGCAAGAGAGAGCUUUGAUCUCUCUGAUCCUCGUUUCUUUCAACCAGAAAUUUUGGGAACCUCACUUACCUGUAGGCAACCCUAACCGUGAAGUUUGAUCUUAAGAUCUCUGGUUGUGAUUUGGAUCAGAACUUUGUUGUACUCAAGAGUCCUGGUAGUGAAGAAUUUUAACCUGAAAUGUCAGACUGAACUGUUUCUCAACUGUCAAUCUCUCAUGAAUGAGAUCUCCCUUUCGAUAGCAGGUUUGAUCUACCGCUGGUUUUGUUAGAAUCAUGAGGUUGAGGAAAAGUAAAGUCCUGAGAUUGCCUAGACCCACUUCACUUAUAAUUACUACAUAAAGCCCUCGUGUCUCAAAGUUUUUUCUGUUCUACUCCCUUUCUCAUUGUUAUUCCAGAUCUGUCAUUUUCUUUCAAUUUUAUUUACUUAUAUGCCCUAAAGUAUGUUCUCUUCCAGAAGAGCCUUUAUUCGUGCUAUGAAUUUACAGAAUUUUCACUCAACCAUUACAUUGUUUUAUUUAUUAUUCAUGUGGGCCCUUAGCGACCUAUAUCUGGGUGUUGGAACCCUAGGUAGCAUCAGAAAGACUAUACACCUGCAGUGGACAAAACAGCAUUUAUAACAGUUUUCUAGUUCACUUAUUAUUUAAUAUUUUAUCUUUGGCUUGAAUAGGUCUGAUGAUAGCAAUCAACUUGUCUCUAUCUUGUCUUUAUCUCUAGUGUUCUUUUAGUAAAAUUGGUUGUUUUUUUAUUAUUUUCUUUUGGAUAAUGUUAUCUUUUAAUGCUAUCCUAUUUGGGUUUGUUCAUAUUAUAAAUAGAUGUAAAGGCCUAUGGACCCCCAACUAUUUGAAUUGAGAUUUAGUUCAGUUUCUCUCUCUCUCUCUCUCUCUCUCUCUCUCUCAAUUUUUUGCUGCUGUGGAUUCAGUAGUGUGCUUGGUAGAUUUCUAGUGAAGGGUAAGGUGGUUUCGUCAGCGGAAGAGUGGAUUUCCUUCAUGGGUUUAGUGGAUUCUGGCCAUUUUCUAUCAAUUCUUUAAUUUUCUAUUAGAUCUAAUUUCAUAUUCUAUUGAUUCCAUUUCCUAUAUCUCUGUUCUACGAUCUUGUUUGUACUAGCUUCUAGCUAGAUUUUUCUGUUUCAGGAUUAGUUUACAUUACCUGGUCUUUAUGUAUUUAAUUUAAUUUGCUUUGCUUUCUUCUAUUCAUUAUCUUGGAAGACUCAUCACCAUCUACUUUCCCUC